rnacentral:lncRNA from 1 species
UUUGGUUCAUGGGAAAGGAAUCUUGGGGAUGGGAAAGCAAUUUCUUUCCCAUGUUUGGUAAGUCAGGCAUGGAAAAUCGUUGUCUGGGACAUGGGAAAGUAGGAGGGAAAGUGAUGCCAUCAUUCCUUCUUGGGUUUUACUUUCCCUUCCCAUGGGAAAGUAAGGCCAUCAUUAACUACAUUUUUUUUCUAACUAAUUUGUCUUUACUAAUAAUUUAUAACUACAGUUUAUCCAACAGCAGAAAUGUUCUAUUUCCCCUUAGGUAUUCUUUUUUGUCUUUUUUAGUUCAUAUUUCUUAAAACCCUCCCAGCAGCAAUGUUCUAUUUCCCUAGAUAUUUCUCAUAACUCUGUCUAACAAGGAAGGCAAAACUUCAACCUCACCCAGGUUUUCACAUUCUCAUCCUCAGAGCAACUUCAAAUAAGGUGGGUAUUAUACUUCUAUUCAUCACCCAAUAUUUUUCAUGUUUAUUUUUCUUCUUCCUUUUUUUCCCCACUUGAGCACCCAAAAUUUCAUUAUAUGAAUUGACUUGAGCUUUGGGUUUAAUAGUUGGAUAAUUUGAUGUCUUUCUACUUUUUCUUUUUCUUUUUCUGGGUUUAACAUGUAUUUUGCUCUAAUACACCGUUUGAAAUUGAUAGAGGAAUAUAUUUUUUUUUACUUUGGUGUCUGUGGGAUGGUGG